GUGCUUGCUUCGGCAGCACACCUACUAAAAUCGGAACAAUACACAAAGGAUUGAUAUUGCCCCUGUGCGAGGAUGGCACGCAAAUUCAUGAAGUGUUCCAUAUUUUU